rnacentral:sRNA from 1 species
ACGGCCCGGAAUAUAGGGGGUUUUUUGAAGAAGGGAGAGUCUGAACGGUGGAAAAUGUGCGGAGAGAUGACGGCACGACUUCAGAGGACAAGCAUCGUUGUCGGAGCAAGGAGGAGACUGUCCGCUGCCCGCAUCGGGCUGGGAACGUCAUUGAGAGCGCUGCGCGUAGCGCAGGGGGACUGAGAAUGCGGAAGGUUUGUUAGUAAACUAGGGAAGUAAGGCAAGGAAUGCGGAAUUGAAUGAGCUUUAAGGGAAGUGUAGUGGAGAGGGAAUUGAAGAGAGGAAAUCAGUUAUUUUUCAGUUUUCGAGUUUUUCGAACUUUUUUUUUUUUUUUUGGGCGGGAAAGUCUUUGUUUGGGUGGACUUUUAGCGCCGUGACUCAUUCGUUAUGGAUUCCACCGAGGGGAGCUCGGCGUAGCCCAAGAACAAUUGGAACUGUUAAACAUAUAUGCAUAUACAUAUUGAUCAUAGUAAAACGGAGUGUCAGGUCGGAUUCAUUUCUUGCGUGUAAAUUGCAGUUGUUGACUGAAUUAUCUUCCCAUUUCGAACAUCUACCUCAAUACAUAGCUUAAAGCUAGGAUCCAGGACCUAUCUCCAAAACGAUGGAAAAAACACCUUAGAUCCAGAUUUCUCCGUGACACAGCGCUCAUUGCUAUCGAUCAUUUUCGUGAUUCAUGAAUUAUCAUCUCUAUGUAUCCCACCCGUCACACUUCAUCCAUCACCAAUGACUCCAACUUUCCCAUUCAAACCUGACCAUGGGCCUUUUGGCAUAUUCUCCGAUCGACAAUGUCGUCCUCCUCUACCCCGAGAAAAUCGGCUUUCCGAGGCCCAGAUAUCUCCAUCAUCCUCUUUCUUUUCCUCCUUACCAGCCGUUGCCUCCUCAUAGUCCUGGUUCAUGAGCUCAUACAUUUCCUUCAACAUAUCUUCUGUCUUUCGUGCCAAUUCUGUCCCGAAAUUCACCCUAUCUUCUACAUAUCCAUUCGUAGCAUCCCGUGCUUCCCUGGCAGCAAAUGACCAGGCCUCUGCACGGGUGACGAUCUCCGGAGUGUCACUUGGGCUUGUUGGGCUAGCGAGAGAAGUUGAGCGACUAUUUAUCGCGGCAACUGCAUGUCUAAAUCGCGGUUGUCUCGCAAGAAUGGGGUACUCCGGAAGCAGAUGGCUUUCUUCCUGCAGACGAUCGAACAUCCGGCACGUAGUCCACUUCUCUUUAGCAAGAAGGGCAGAUAAAUAGGCCUUUUGCGUAGAAGGUGCUUUCUGGGCUUUUGACAAGGGCAGCAAAUGCUCCGACACAUAUGGGAACAGUAAAGCAAGGUCCGG